ensembl:lncRNA
GUGAGGAGAAAGGAUGCCAGAAGCAGAGAGGAGAGGAGAGAGGAUGCCAGAAGGAGAGAGGAGAGAGGAUGCCAGAAGGAGAGAGGAGAGGAGAGGAUGCCAGAAGGAGAGAGGGGAGAGAGGAUGCCAAAAGGAGAGAGGAGGAGAGGAUGCCAGAAGGAGAGAGAGGAGGAGAGAGUAUGCCAAAUGGAGAGAGAGGAUAGCGGAUGAGAGAGGAGAAAGGAUGCCAGAAGCAGAGAGGAGAGGAGAGAGGAUGCCAGAAGGAGAGAGGAGAGAGGAUGCCAGAAGGAGAGAGGAGAGGAGAGG